rnacentral:rRNA from 1 species
AGUACCGUGAGGGAAAGGUGAAAAGAACCCCGGGAGGGGAGUGAAAGAGAACCUGAAACCCUGCACUUACAAGCUGUGGGAGCACAUUACUUGUGUGACCGCGUACUUUUUGUAGAACGGGCCAACGAGUUACGUUAAGUAGCAAGGUUAAGCACUUAAGGUGUGGAGCCGUAGCGAAAGCGAGUCUUAAAUGGGCGAUUAAGUUACUUGGCGUAGACCCGAAACCGGGCGACCUAUCCAUGAGCAGGUUGAAGCGAAAGUAAAAUUUCGUGGAGGACCGAACCCACGAGCGUUGAAAAGCUCGGGGAUGACUUGUGGAUAGCGGUGAAAUUCCAAUCGAGCCCGGAGAUAGCUGGUUCUCCCCGAAAUAGCUUUAGGGCUAGCCUCAAGCGUAGAGAAACGGAGGUAGAGCACUGAAUGUCCUAGGGGGUAUUGCACUUACCGAAGACUAUCAAACUCCGAAUGCCGUUUUCUUUUACUUGGGAGUCAGACUGUGGGUGAUAAGAUUCAUAGUCAAAAGGGCAACAGCCCAGAUCGUCAGCUAAGGUCCCUAAAUGUACGUUAAGUGGUAAAGGAUGUGGGAUUGCACAGACAACCAGGAUGUUGGCUUAGAAGCAGCCACUCAUUUAAAGAGUGCGUAAUAGCUCACUGGUCGAGUGAUCCUGCGCCGAAAAUUUCCGGGGCUAAAACGUACUACCGAAGCUACGGCAUCAUUUAUGAUGGGUAGGGGAGCUUCGUAUGCAGGCUGAAGCAUGACCGUAAGGACAUGUGGACAGUAUACGAGUGAGAAUGUUGGCAUGAGUAGCGAGACGUGGGUGAGAAUCCCACGGGCCGUAAACCCAAGGUUUCCAGGGGAAGGUUCGUCCGCCCUGGGUUAGUCGGGACCUAAGCCGAGGCCGAAAGGCGUAGGUGAUGGACAACAGGUUGAUAUUCCUGUACCGCCAAUAAGCGUUUGAGAGAUGGAGUGACACAGUAGGAUAAGCUAACCGUACUGUUGGUUAUGUACGGCUAAGCAUUGAGGCAGUCUAAAUAGGCAAAUCCGUUUAGACAAUGCUAGGAUGUGAUGGGGAAGCCCUUCGGGGCGAAGUAGCUGAUUUCACACUGUCAAGAAAAGCUUCUAUCGAGUUUAAAGGCGCCCGUACCGUAAACCGACACAGGUGGGUGAGGAGAGUAUCCUAAGGCCAGCGAGAGAACUAUUGUUAAGGAACUCGGCAAAAUGACCCCGUAACUUAGGGAGAAGGGGUGCCUGUCUAUGACAGGCCGCAGAGAAUAGGCCCAAGCGACUGUUUACCAAAAACACAGGUUUCUGCUAAGUCGCAAGACGAUGUAUAGGAGCUGACGCCUGCCCGGUGCUGGAAGGUUAAGGGGAUCUGUUAGAGCAAUCGAAGCAGUGAACUUAAGCCCCAGUAAACGGCGGCCGUAACUAUAACGGUCCUAAGGUAGCGAAAUUCCUUGUCGGGUAAGUUCCGACCCGCACGAAAGGCGUAACGAUUUGGGCACUGUCUCAACAAUAGACUCGGUGAAAUUGUAAUCCCGGUGAAGAUGCCGGGUACCUGCGACAGGACGGAAAGACCCCAUGGAGCUUUACUGUAGCUUGACGUUGGGUCUUGGUACUACAUGUACAGGAUAGGUGGGAGACUAUGAAGCAUGGACGCCAGUCUGUGUGGAGUCAUCCUUGGGAUACCACCCUUGUAGUACUGGGAUCCUAACCAUAGGCCUUGAAUCAGGUCUUGGAACACCGUCAGGUGGGCAGUUUGACUGGGGCGGUCGCCUCCUAAAAAGUAACGGAGGCGCUCAAAGGUUUCCUCAGCACGGUCGGAAAUCGUGCGAAGAGUGUAAAGGCAAAAGGAAGCUUGAUUGCAAGACAUACAGGUCGAGCAAGGACGAAAGUCGGACUUAGUGAUCCGGUGGUACCGCAUGGAAGGGCCAUCGCUCAACGGAUAAAAGCUACCCUGGGGAUAACAGGCUUAUCUCCCCCAAGAGUCCACAUCGACGGGGAGGUUUGGCACCUCGAUGUCGGCUCAUCACAUCCUGGGGCUGUAGUAGGUCCCAAGGGUUGGGCUGUUCGCCCAUUAAAGUGGUACGCGAGCUGGGUUCAGAACGUCGUGAGACAGUUCGGUCCCUAUCCGUCGCAGGCGUAGGAAAUUUGAGAAGACCUGUCCUUAGUACGAGAGGACCGGGAUGGACGUACCUCUGGUGUACCAGUUGUUCUGCCAAGGGCAUGGCUGGGUAGCUAUGUACGGAAUGGAUAAGCGCUGAAAGCAUCUAAGCGCGAAGCCAACUUCAAGAUAAGAUUUCCCACCGUAAGGGUAAGACCCCAGGAAGACUACCUGGUUGA